GGGGAUUUAGCUCAGCGGCAUAAGCGCCUGCCUUGCAAGCAGGCAGUCGUGAGUUCAAUCACUGUUACCG
rnacentral:tRNA from 1 species